GGCGGGAGACACUGAGGCCACCGGUCGUCUCACUGGGCACGUGUGAACAUCGACACCGGGCCAGACACUCGGGGACUCGAAGAGCCCAACGUCGGACCCACGGCCCCUCCGCCUGCUCCUCGCAGCCUCAUCGCCUCCUGGCUCCGGAAGUGGCCCGCAGCCUCUCGGCUGAAGUCAUCCACCUUCCGGUUCUUAACUCCGAUUUCCUCCUCCCAGAGAGUCCCCGCAGGAUCAGGCUGACGCGCGUGGGCUGGGCGCUACCCCCAAGGCCCCAGCUCGCUGCAAGGGUAGACUCAACGGGGCCGGGCGGGCGUGGCUCGCGAUGCAGCGGGUGUCCCCGAGCCGGGCCGGGCCCUGGUAGGCACUCCCUAAAUGGUUGGUGACGGAUCCACUCUGCCGUGGGGGCCCAGGGGAGCCAAGAACUGCAGUGUGGGCAUUUGAGUCCUACGAGGGGCUCGGGAGAGGGAAGACAGCAAAGGUUUCUCCGAAGCGGACGAGCUUUGGUUCCCAGAGCUGAUCGAGAAUGCGUCGAAAACUCCGACUUUGGACUCGUGCGCCCUAGGAUGGACCUGAGUCCCCACCCUGAACCGCCACGCAGCAGCCUAGUAUGGCUUCGGCGGUCCGGGGCCGGGGUGUCGAGGGUUGAGCCCAGGAAACGACGAGAGUAGCAGCGAGGGGGCGUGGGCAGCCUGGUGAGGGGCGGGGUACAGGACGCGAGCACUCAGCCUCUGAACAAAAGGCCGAUUUUCCUUAAUUUCGAUCACCCGCCAUUUGCCGUGUGCGGUUGAUGCUCUCAACUCUGAAAAACAGUUUUCCUCCUUUAAAUGCCCGGUUUACAGACGGCAGCGCCAUGAGAUAUUACCCUUUGGACCUGGCGACCUCCCAAACGCGGGCAUCGGAACUGCUGGGGGGCCCACAGUCCCUGUUCAUGGCUGCAAACCGCACCCUUGGGGGGAAUCGGCCCGGCCCCAGCCCCUCGCCCCCCGCCCCCCGCCCGAAACCGGCUGUGCGCUCCUCCGCGCCCCUGAGCCCUGCAGAGGAAUGUGGACAAUGGUGAAGUCUGUACUUCCAAGAGGUGCACACUCAAAGACAACCGGAGGAGAGGCUGGUGAAGAAUUCUAAAGCCCCUCAAGAAGAGGCGGAGAACACGCGGGGCUUGGGCACAGAAAAAUGCACUUGGCGUCACGUCAACUUUCACCUGAGCCUAAAGAACUUGGGGGGAAAGCGCCCCCUCGUGGACGAUUGGAAAAUUCCAGUAACAGGGUUAAGGAGGUGAGAAUCUGUGGUAAGCCUCGGUGGGACCCCUUGGGAUGGACUGAAAAUCCUUUUAUCCUGGAGAUCCUUUCCAUGGAAGUCUGGGGUUCAAUCUGGACGGAAGCUAGCACCGAGAGAGGCCCUUCUUUAAAAGGCCCGGGGCGAAGGCUGGCAUUGCUCCCUCAGCUGAACCCCAUCUCCACGCAGCACUUUUCAUCCGCUACGCUGGCCCCUCCUUGAACUCAGAAGUUGGAAGGUCCUAGGCCUGGACUGUGAUUUAGUGCCCAUCAGCCGUGGGCCGGAGGAAAUCUAUUAAACUCUCUACAAACCUAUUUCCAGAUUAGCCACACGCUGAGGUCUUGGCUCAGGUAUUACAUUUAAGCAACGAUUCCAAGCUGCUAGGGAAAAAAGAAGCGCACCUACUUCUCCCGUCUUGCUAGCUCAGUUCAUAGCGCUCUAAUUUUAGGGUCCUGAGCAUCGCCCAGCGUCCAGUGAAUUUUAUUUGGCUGUCUACCGAUUGGGUACCCUCCGUGGCCAGUGCCGUGUGGAUCCCCGAGGUAGCCACGAGGGGGCGUACCGUCCCUUUCCCUUGGAUCUCGGCUCCCAGAACCACUUCUUUCCCCCCUCCACCUCCCCCACCCCAGUUUGGAUGGUAAAUAAUAAAGAUGUCCAGUUUCACUUUGAGACUGGCACAAACCAAGAUUCUUAUUCUUUACCACCCCAACUGCAGGAUCGUCUUGAGUUGCGGCAUGGGAGGUUUGGUUGCAUAAGCUCAGCUGCCCAGCUCUGAGGCUACCUCAUUCCCUCUGCAGCUACCAAACUAUAGGAAAAGGCUCGAAGACAACUGGUUUUGAAAGUAACUGAUUUCCUCUGUAAUUUUAAAUGUUCUGUUCUAUGCAUUAAGAAGUCUUAUUCCUGGGAUGCUUGGGUGGCUCAGUUGGUUAAGCCUGGGAGGGUGGUUGAGACUGAGCCCGGUGGGGGGAGUUCUGGGCUCAGCCCGGAGCCUGCUUAACAUUCUUUCUCCUCUGCUCCCCCCCCCCAAUAAAUAAAUCUUUAAAAGCUUUAUUCUAAGAAGCAUGUGCACCUUCUAACCCCCUCCCCAAAUAAAUAAAUCUUUAAAAGCCUUA